GGCAGGCAGGUUAGCAGUUAGGAGCCAGCGGUCCUGGAUUGCAAGGGGGAUGUCCGAAUGCUGGUUAGGCCUGUGGGAUCAGGCCUAAACCAGCAUUCGGACAUCCUACGAGGGGCACCAGAUUAGAGAGGGUGCAGUCUGGGCUGAGGGACACCCCAACCCCCACCCCCCGUGCAUGAAUUUCGUGCACCAGGCAUCCCAGUCCAGGGUUCCAGUGCCAGGAAGAGAAGUCACCAUAACUUCUGGCUGUAAAAACCAGCUGGUAUUGAGACUGAGUGAGACAAAGGGCUGCUGGAGUCCCAGGCAGUUCCUCUUAAAGGGCCCACAUAUGGACUUACUCAGACUUACACCCUCUGAGUUCCAGUGCUGGGGCAGCAGCUUGAAAGAGUUUGGUAACAUACAGGGGAUAAUUGAAUUGUCUGGCAUAAGGUGAGAACUGGAGGGGAAGCUUUCUCCCAGGUGGAAGUGCUGGAAGAGGCCAUUGUUUUCUUUCUGAGUCCUCCUCCACAGAGCUGGCAGGUGCCAAAUCUGAGUCUCCAUAAACAUAGUUUACCCUGUUCACCCUGUCCUGGUGAUUUCCUGAGACCUGCCCCAGUAACUUGUGGGCCCACCUAAUCUAUUUCCAGUGGUAUUUCCAUGUGAAUGGACUGUCUUGGUUUAUGCUUCAGACUUUCCUAAAAUCUCUCAAACAAGUAGCAUCUUGCCCUGUACCUCUCACCAAGUGGCCCCAGGCCCAGCACUAGUAGCAGCCAGCCUUAGUUAGCAGCCUGGCCUCUCCUGGACACCUCUAAGCCCAGCACAAGUAGCAGCCAUCUGCAGAUAGUUUUAUUUCAGAUCGUCCUGGGCAGAUAAUAGGCCAUGGCUGACCUUGGCUUGCACCUCUCAGGCAGCCCAGAGCUAGCACACCUGGUGGAUAGCUUCAGACCACAUCAAAACACCACCCAGCCACCUCUACAAGUGACAGACUCAAGGGCUGGACUCAGUGGGCAGCAGAACCUCUCUGAAUUAAGUCCUGCUCUGUGGGGUGGGCUCCUAUAAAGCUGAUUCUCCACUGUGGUUGCAGCCAGUCCUUGUAGCCAAUGGACUUUGGAGUACAUCACUCCCAUUGAUGUGCCAACAGUAAUCAAUGCCCAACUACAACAGAAGGGUGUACACAGAUCAUGUAGAGGGAGGUGCACCUGGAGACUCCAGCUUGGGUAAACAGGGAGGUUGUGUCCCUGGACCCUACACCUACUACAUAAGCCUGGGAGACAUAGCAUCUCUACUUAAUACAUAGAAACAAAUACAGGAAAGCUGCCAACAUGAGGAGACAAAGAAACAUGUCUCAAGUGAAAGAACAGGACAAAACUCCAGAAAAAUAACUAAACAAAAUGGAGACAAGCAAUCAACUAGAUGCAGAGUUCCAAACACCGUGUAAGGAUGCUCAAUGAACUCAGGGGAAGAGUAGAUGAACUUAGAGAGAAAACUUCAACAGCAUAAAAAACAACAACAUGGAUACUAUAAGCCAGUCAGAAAUGAAGGACAUAAUAACUAAUAUGAAGAAUAAUUUACAGGGAAUCAACAGUUAAGUGGGUGAAGUCAAAAAUCAAAAUAGUUAUCUAUAAUAAUAAAAAGCAUUAUAUGCUAAUUAGACUGGACAUCCUUCCAGAUGUCCUUCCAGACGAUCUUCUGGACGAAGCCAGGGCUGAGGAAAGCCCAGGUCCUGGGUGCCUGCUGGCAGCCAGGAGAAGGAAAGACUACUCUUGCGUGAAUUUCAUGCAUUGGGCCUCUAGUUUGGAAUAUAAGGAAGCAAAAAACACCCAAUCAAAACAGCAGAAAGAAAAAAGAACCCUGGCCCCCCUCCCAAAUGAGAAUAGUGUAAGGAGCUAUGGGACAACUUCAAGUGUACCAACAUUUGCAUCAUAGGGGUGCCAGAAGGAGGAAAAGAGAGCAAGAAAUUGAAAUCUAUUUUAAAAAAUAAUGAUGGAAAACUUCCCUAACCUGUCAUGCAGUUUUACCUGAGAUUUGUUGUUAAUGGCCGUUAGAAUACACUGGGCUUAAUUUAUGUCAGCUGGGACUCAGGGGGAGGGCAGAGCCACUCCCUGAGGGCGGGACCAGUCAAAGACUGGACGCCACUCAGUCUGACUCUCCCGCCCAGUGUUAAGGGGAUGGAUCUCAUGAUGUCAAAGGCCCACCCUGAUGUGAUGUAACUUCCUGUAAUUCAAGUAUAUAAUAAAUCAGCUUUCAGAGCUGGCUCUCUCUGUGUGUUCUGUCCCUCCAGAGGGCUGGUACCACACCCAGCCCACACUUUUAAUCUAUUUUAUGUCUGUCUUUCAUUAUUCUUUAAUCCCGAAAGCGCCUCCUACUUGCACGAACCGGUUCAAGUCUCCCCCUCCUUGUGGGACUCUGAGAGGAGACCUCAGCCCAAACACGCCCGUCAUAUUUGUUUGCAAUAAUAUAGGGAACACCUUGUUUCAAUGAGGAACUCUUUUCUCCUGUUAAUCUUUAGAUCUCAUCAAGAGACAUUUGGAGUCUUUAGUGAGACCUAGUCAAUCGUAAGUACUUUAUAGAGCACUGGUUCUAAUGCAUCAAGAAUCCCGAAAUAGCAAUGCAUUCUUUCAGCUUCCAACAGUCAUUAAUUGAGCCCCUAAUAUAUUUGAGACAUAGCCCUCUCCUUUCAGGUGUUUUCCUUUCCUUAAACAACAGAGAGCAAAAUUAUGAACUGCCAGUUAAAGGGCCUUUAUUUCUGGAACAAUCAGGUAUCACAGAAAACAGUAUUGUUGGGCCUUAUACCUUUUUCAUGUUUGGAGUUUUAUGACCAUUAUCUUUCCUCCUGCAAUCAAUAAAAAUGCACCUAAUAAUUACUAAGAACAAUUCCCCUCCCCCCAUUUUUCAAAGUGAAAAGGGUGAAGCAUAAUAAUGGCAAAUUUUAAAAUUAGAUUUUGGACUUUUCCUUUAUGAUAGUGACUGAUAACAUUUCUUAAGUUAUUUAUAAAUUAUUCCUCAUUAAUUCAUUAUUAUUCUCCAUGCUAAUACUUUUUGGGUGAGUGAGGAGAAGAAUCCAAAGCAAGAGCAAGCUCUCAUUUCUGUGUACAGAAGGAAAAGGAAGAAAUAACUUUUUGUUCAACCUUUUUCUUUCUUCCUUAGAAAGCAUUGACUAAAAAUCACAGGGUAGAAUGCGGAACCUGAAGGAAAUGAAAGUAGGAAUUUAGACUCCUGGGUGACUUGGGUUGUUUGCUUCUACUUUAUGGCGUGGACUUCAUUCAUUUUUGACAUCUAUUUGCACAUUCAUAGGCAGGGGAAAAGUGCCUGUUUCUUUAUAUUUGCCUUAAAGCUCAACACAGUGCCUAGCAAAUAAUAGAUCAUUAAUAAAAACUUGUUGAAUGAAUGAAUGCUCAUGUUAAUUUAUCCUUUUUUUUAUGUAUUAGGAAGAAAAAAGAACUAACUUAAAAUUUGCUCUUUUUUUUUUGGUAACACUACCAAGAAUCAAUACUUCUUCUUUAUACAUAAACUAGAGGCCCAAUGCAUGAAAUUUGUGCAAGAGUAGGCCUCCCUUCCCCCAGCUGCUGGCACCGGUUUCCUUCUAGCACCCGAGACCCGGGCUUCCCUCCAGCCACUGGCAGGCACCUGGGAUCUGGGCUUCUCUCCAGCUGCCGGCAGGCACCAGGGACCGGGGCUUCCCUCGCAGCCCUGGCUUCAUCCGGAAGGUUGUCUGGUCUGAUUAGCAUAUUAUGCUUUUAUUAUUAUAGAUAUAUUUCUUGGAGGAAUUGUGACUACAGUUUUAUAAGUAAAUACAUAAAAACGACUAUCCUUUUUUUUGACUUGAAAGUCAAAGAGAUUGAUAUGAGACAAACUGAUUUGGGUUUUUUUUUCCAAAUAGUUAUUAGGUGGUAGCUACUUCAAUGCCUGAAAUGCUUGACAAUGUUUUGAUUUUAUGAUGGAAGUCAAGUUCACUGACAGUCAUAUUAUAGGUUUUUCUCUGGGGCUGUUAUUUGUUACAGAGUUUUGAAAAUAUUAACUGGAAAAUUUCAAGAGGUGCCUCUUAAGAGCUGUAGAAAAGAAAUUUGAUCUCCCUGAAAUGCUAGAGUAUACUGUUCCAAAUGUUCUGCUGGUGAGAGUUGUGGGUUUUUAAAAUGAUAGUAGCAAGGACUAUUAAAAAAAAUAAAUGAUCUGUGCAAUGAUGUUCUGACCUUAGACUAGCUGCUAUGUUCUUUUUUUCUCUUCUGCUUAGAACCACAUGUUUUCUUAUUUAUUUAUUUAUUUAUUUAUUUAUUUAUUUAUUUAUUUAUUUAUUCUUUAUUGUUGAGAGUAUUACAGAUGUACCUGCCCCCCCAUUUUUUCCCCUCAUUGUCCUCCACCCCCUGCCAUCCCCAGGCCUUCACCACUCUAUUGUCUGUGUUCAUGGGUAAUGCAUAUAUGCAUAUAAGUUCUUUAGCUAAUCUCUUCUCACCUCCCUCCCUCAUUUCCAUUGAGAUUUCUCAGUCUGUUCCAUGUUUCCAUGCCACUGAUUCCAUUUUAUUUAUCAGUUUAUUUUAUUCAUUGGAUUCCUCAUUCAUUUAUUUUGAUUUUUAGAUUCAGUUGUUGAUAGGUAUGUAUUUAUUGCCAUUUUAUUGUUCAUAUUUCCUCCUCCUCCUCCUCCUCCUCCUCCUCCUCCUCCUCCUCCU